GCAGCCGCCGCGGGAAAACGGAGGGUGCAAGCGUUAAUCGGAAUUACUGGGCGUAAAGCGCACGCAGGCGGUCUGACAAGUCAGAUGUGAAAUCCCCGGGCUUAACCUGGGAACUGCAUUUGAAACUGUCAGGCUGGAGUCUUGUAGAGGGGGGUGGAAUUCCAGGUGUAGCGGUGAAAUGCGUAGAGAUCUGGAGGAAUACCGGUGGCGAAGGCGGCCCCCUGGACAAAGACUGACGCUCAGGUGCGAAAGCGUGGGGAGCAAACAGGAUUAGAUACCCCGGUAGUCCCUGUCUCUUAUAC
rnacentral:rRNA from 1 species